GGGGCGAAGAUAAGAUGGAUUAGCGGCGGACGGGUGAGUAACACGUGAGUAACCUGCCUUUUACACAGGGAUAGCCUCGGGAAACCGGGAUUAAAACCUGAUGAAACUAUCAAAUCACAUGAUUAAGAAAGUUAAAACUCCGGUGGUAAAAGAUGGACUCGCGUCCCAUUAGCUAGUUGGUGAAGGUAACGGCCCACCAAGGCAACGAUGGGUAGCCGGCCUGAGAGGGUGAACGGCCACAUUGGAACUGAGAAACGGUCCAAACUCCUACGGGAGGCAGCAGUGGGGAAUAUUGCACAAUGGGGGAAACCCUGAUGCAGCGACGCCGCGUGAGCGAAGAAGGCCUUCGGGUCGUAAAGCUCUUUUAUAUGAGAAGAUAAUGACGGU
rnacentral:rRNA from 1 species